AAUUUGUGCGUUUCGAUGGGUGUAGCUGUCUGCUUCUGGGGAAGCAUGAGUGACUGUCAGCCGUGGGAAAAUACCCUUUUCCCUUCUUUCUGGCAAGGGAAUGACAUGGCUGGAUAACUUGGUCGGUGUUCUCAAGACAAGGGGCAGUCAUUGCAGCUGUGUCUUCCUGCCUGUGGAGGGUGGUGGGAGCUACGAGGAGAAAAAUGAAGGUGGUUCCCUGGCCUUGCACUGCCACAGAAGAAGCAGAAGAGGCUUUGCAAAGAGCAUAAGAAAACUAUUCCCGCCCGGGGUGUUAUUAGAGGCUAUUCUUCCUGGAAGAGCUGAAGUUGCGAUACCAACACCCUGAGAGCUUGACCAGUCAUACUCAGAAAUAUGAAGAGAAUGUAACUAGAGGAAGUAGUGGUUGAAACACUGUAAAGUGAAAUGGGAGGCGACCUGAGGCAGUUGCUCAAACUAGCAGCAGGACCGUAAGCCCUUCUUGGAUGCCUGGGUUGGCUGAUGGUACGUUCAGACGGGGUCACGGGCACCCCAGCACCCGCGCACUGGCCGCACUGGACAUUUGCAGCGCUGGACAAGGUUGCAAUGUUCUGGGCACAGGUUACAAGUGCUGGCUGGAGCGCUCUGGUCACGACCGUGCUUAGAGCUUCUGCUACAGCACAUGCAUUAAUCCUAGCUUGUACAAAAACACUGACCGCCACUGGGACAGAGGUGGCCUAAGUUAUUUAAAUGCUUCCUGGAAAACGCUAAAGAUUAUUAAACAAAAAUAGCCACUGCGUUGUAAUAGGGAAGGAGGGAUGCAGUUUAUUAUUAGUAAUAAUGAACGUUAGUACUAUAAUCUAUGAAAAUAGUUUAGGUCACCGCUGUCUAUCAAGUAAAACAUCUUGAAGGGAGCCUUCGUUUGAAGGCUAAACUCGAUAUUUAAUUUUCUCCAAACUCUACUAUAAAUAGUCUCCGUGUGACACGAUACCAGGCUGUCAUGUCUUCUAAAGGCACCCAGACAAAGGGAGCCCUUGUUUGUGAGCACUUGCAAAGCAUGUCAGAUAUGAGCCAGAAGAGAAACACUUCUCUCUGAAAAAGAACCAAAAGCAACAAAAUAAACCCAUCCCAAACUGAAACGCGCGCUGUCAUUUUUGGUAACGAAACCUCUCUUUUCGGGUACAGCGAGUAACAAGCAGUAGAGGCAGAACACUACCUAAGAGACCUGCAGCAAAGAUAUGUCAAAGAAAAGGUCCCUAGCGAGGCCACAAGAGCUGAUAGCCCUCGUUCACAUGGGUCAUGGACUCUUCUUCUCAGAUUAGGGGCUGGGAGAGGGCCUUCUCCAAAAAUUGCAGUUUAAAGCUAAUUUUGGAGAAAGCAGAUAUAGCAGGGAGGUGAGAACUGGAUUUUUACCCGGGGACACCAACUUUUGUUGUUCAUAGUAAUGCUAUCGGUUUAUAAUCGCCAGCCAAGCCCGUGGGACAUCACACACCAAGCUCAAGGCACGAUUUCCCAGGGUUUAAGGCUCUUUUGCAGGGCCCAGCUGACACAAAAUCUUGGGCAAGCAUGCACAGCUGCUCACCUCCUUGCAACCGGUGUGUGAAGGAGCCACGGGGGACGCAGCGCACUGCCUGGGAAGCCUGGCUUGCCGGGACCUCAGCACAUUGGCAGCAAGAGGCAUUUUUCUCUGCGCUGCCUGCAAAUCUGGGCCACAGUGCAGGAAGUAGUGACGGGCAAGUGCGCAUCUGCAGGGCUCCUGCUGGUGUUUGCAGAUCAGUGUAGAAAUAGCUCCCAGUUUGCUGGGGUUUAUACUGGGCUGGCAGGUGCUUCCAGGACCUGCAUUCUAAAGACUGAAAUCACUGCAUGAGGCUAAUUCUUAAUUAACUGCAAGGAACAAGGUGUCAUCACCCAAAUCGUAAGGACUGGGCUAGGCCUAAUCUUACUUAACAGUCUUCUCAAUGCUGAAGAACAGCUUGGGCUGACCUUAAAAGGCCUCCUCCUGCCCGGAACUCUGCACCCGAUGUCACCUAGCAAUAAGGGUAUUGCCACUUCCAGUUGGAAGGAAGUGCAUCCUCUGUGCAGUCUAGGGAUGUGCAUACGCUGUAUAUCCACUGGAGUUGCAUGUUAUGUGUAUAUUAUCGUAGUGACAAAGUGUAAGCGCACAGAGUGAAGGCUUCCGUGCUGGGCAUCUGCUUCAGGCUAGAUAUUGCUUUUCUAAUUGGAAAAAAACAAGAGAAGGCUCCAACUAUCUUCCACUGGAGGAACAAGAUUACGUAGAAAAACAUUGCUUGGUUUGCAUUUUUUACAGCAGUCUUCUCACUGAGAAGCUCUAGCACCCUCGUGCUUUGGAGGCACAUAGAUCCGGUGGGAGCUGGAGAAAGGGAGAAAGCCUAGGUGUGCUGAGGUCAGGGUGCUCGGCUCCACAUCCCUUCAGCUUGCCCAGGUUGGCUUUGCAAUUCCACAGUGUUCUUUUUAACAUAGGCAUCAGCAAGUGGAAUUUAACAGUAAAGCAAGUGGCAGGGAAAAUUUUGCUGGGAGCCAGAAAUAGUUUGUUAACACUGGAAGCAAAGCAAGUUUAUGGCAGAGAUAAAAACCCCUUCCAAGUGGCUGCUCAUCACUGCAUGCAAGAACCAUUUGAUUGCAGAGAGCAUGUAGGAACAUAAUAAGGAAGAGGCUAGAAAUGAGUCUUUAAUUGCAUUUUUUCCUUUGUUUUUGCUCCCAAGAGUAUGAAGGCUCUUCAUGUCAUUCCUUGUGCAAAUCUUUCUCCAGGUUAAGCACACUACCACUUUAGACAUGCAAAUUAGAGCCAAUUAGAGCAGAAUUUGUGUGCCCUGAUACUGAAAUGGGCAGCAGAGUUCACAUUCUGUGAAACUAUGCAUUUUACUGCUCUGUGUUUCCCCAGUUUAGGGAAUUAAUAUCAUGCCUUUAAAAAAAAAAAAAUUUCCCUAAUUAAAAUCCCAAACAAUUAUGUCUUUGUCAAAAAUUGUUCAUUCAGUGCAUGAAGUGCAUAAUCACACCAAGAAGCAGCAUAUGUUUUAAUUAACUCCAACCCACAAGGCAGGGAAAUGAAGGUUCCCAGCAUGCACUCUGAGCGAAAUUAAAAUAUGAAUCUGUCAAAAGACUGAUGAGGAAAAAUUCUUCAAAUUGUAGUAGAAAAGUCCCUACUUCCUCCUGCCGCUGAACAUCAAACAUCUCAGCAGCUCCACUUUUUCUUCUUCAUUGUCAAAGUCAUAAUAUGUUUCCUGUUUAUCUGAAGAUGUCAAUGGUGAUUUAUGGGAUGAAACCCAGAUGCAUGCUCGUUCUGCUUAAUGAUCUUCGUUCAGCCUGUUGUGAGCUUAUGGUGACGUCUGCGACAUCCAUCCCCGAUGUCCCCAGCAUUGCAAGGCAGGAAAUGGCUAGUGAUGCCUCGACCAUCCCCAGCACACCUAGCAGCAUUUCCCGACACAACUCUCAGAGGAGUCUUAUGAGGGGGUUCAUAUAUUAGGCAGAGCCCAGGUACAAGUCAGGUGGGAUUGGAGGCAGGCCUAGCAGAAAAGCCUGUUACAAAAGUUGCCCAAUGAUGGCCAUUCAAAGAUCCUAUUUUCAGGUGUGCACAAAGCUUUAAGCAUUUAGGGCAAAUUCUUUCCAAGACGAAUUUGGCCUAGAAUCACAGACUCGCAGAACGGUUGAGGUUGGAAGGGACCUCUGGAGAUCAUCUCGUCCAAACGCCCUGCUCAAACAGCGCCCCAAGGGGGAGAAGCGAGGGCAGGGUUUGCUGGCUCAGAGGGGAAAGGCAACAGCACCCCUGGGAAGGAGACAACUGUGCAAACUUCCUCCAACCCUAAAUGUCACCAUGCCUCCCCUCCAGUACACACAUCUAAAUGUCACAACCUAGAGCGUGGCCAGUGAAGCAUGGCAACCAGGGCAGUAUCUGGGCAAGUAGGAGGGACUGGUGGAGAAACCUAUUUCAAGAUCCUGAUGUCUUCUGCUGCAAAAGCCUCUUGCCCUCCUGCAGGCCUUUGUCCGUCUUUGGUGUUAUUCACCUUGCAAAUCUGUGUGCCACAGUCCUUUUGUGUGGCCUUUUGUGUGGGGAGAUUCUCACGCAGGCUGAGCCAAUCAGUGCUGCUCCUGCACCUGGUCCUUGGCCAUAAAUAAUCCCAUCCAGUCGCUUCCCUGUCCCACACCAUGUACCCCCAUCCUGUGCCUCCAUCUGUCCACAGGCGCUCCUUGCAGCGGCAUGGGUAUGGCUCUUGCCCUACUGGGAUGGAUUUGUGCUUCCUGAAAUGCCCAGCCUCGACGUGAGCAUCGCAUAACUGUAAACAGACAAUCAAAAGUUGCUCUGUUGCUGGGGCUUUUUUGGUCUCUGUUUCCUCAAAAUUAACUUCUCAGAAAAGAGUUUCAUGUAACCAUGAACUGUUUACCAGGAAGACAAAAACCCCAGAAAAACUAAUAGUAAAGGGUUUUGUCGAAGUUCAAGCCUUUGAAGAGGAUUAAUGCUCUUUUGAACCAUUUUGCUAUAUUUUGCUAGUUCCAAACUCUUAGUUACUGGAAAAAUUGUACUUGCUUUGACUUGCUUUUCCCCAUGUUAGCCCCCAACCAGCUCACCCUCUGGUUAGAUGCAUGCAGAGCUGGAGUCAUUUCUAGCACUGCUUAGCUGGACACGGUGGUUAAAAGAGGUUUGGCUUAUCUGCAUUCAGGAAUACCACAGGUUAUAAACUGGAUUUCCCCCAUAUUUAGGAAGAGGCUUGCUCGAUUCUUGGAGCUGUAGCCCAGAUGAGGCCUCCAUUCCCUUCUCAAAGACCUUAUUGACAUGUCCAUUUCGAACUCUUUGGUGCCUCCUUCUUACAGGUUUGGUUUUGGAGCCUGUGCCUUUGCACAGGGAGCCUGUCUUGGCCAAGGACUUGGCCUUCGCUUUGAAGGACAGUCCACGGACACUCCCGGCUUUGCCCUGCUAAGCAUCAGAGCAAGCAAAGCAGAAGAGAAGCUCUAAGGCUUUCAGGAGCGCCAGGUCCUGGGCUGUUUUGUGACAUCGUCCCUGCUUCCUGGCCAGGGAAAGUCUGAGCUUGUGAAACCACCUUUUUUGACCCAAAACAUGCUGAAGGGAAGCCAUGCAUUACACUGGCUGGCUGGAAAGGAUGGCCGCAGAGUCAGGCAGGCUUGGCACAGGGCCAGCCCUCGCUCCCUCUCCCUCGGCCGGUUUGGCUGCAAUCUGCAAACAGGAGAACGAGCCUUCGCUUUGUGCCGGACUAGAUGUGUUAAUGAGAUGGUGCCAUUUGUUAAUAAUAGCUUCUCAAAACAGUAUCGCGCUCCAGAUCACUCUGGCCUCAGGUUUUACGAUGCUGAGUGUGUGGCAGGGGAGCUUGUGUUCUUCUAAAUCCUAUUAUGUGUGACCUGGAGGUGUUUGCUGAUAAGUGUGUACUUCCCAGCCAAGAGAGAGGCUUUUCUGCUUCGUCUGCUGUUGCUGUCUGGAACGGUGUUGUGUUGAAAUGUGGGACAGUGCUUUCCCCUCCACGGCUUGGCAGCUGCCAGGCAUCCUGCCUUUCCAAAGCCACCACCGAGCCGCAGCAGAUAAGGCUUCACUGUCCCAAGGACAGGUAGGACUUGCCCACCGAGGACUAAAAAUCAGUGAGUCACUAAGAGAUGCAAUCUGUCGAUUCAGGCUGUGCUUGUCUAGAGCACGACUGCAAUCAGGAGAAUUUAAGCAGAGGCUUAAGAUUAAGCUUGUGCUUCAAUAGAAUGGAGUCACCUGCUGGGAACUGGCUCUUAAGAAGACAAACCAGUUCUGUCCCUUGGGGUCUUUGCCAUGAGAAGCCCCACACUUCCCCUACUUCCCUAUGGGAAAUCUAUUCCCUCCUUUGUUACUAAGCAGUUGUAGAGCUGUGGCAGACAGCUGGGCUGCACCUCGGCGCGUCGCCUGCAGCUGCAAUUUCAGCAUCAAACUUCACGGCCAUCAACACGAACAACAUCGUAAUCAGGACACAGCACUGAUUAAUGAUGUAGACUUGCUAACUUCAGUGUUCAACACUUUUUCCCUUGGCUUUCUAACUGCAUAAGCAAAUUUCCCCAGUAAAUCUACAAGGCAACAGAGGGUAAUAAAAUAAAAAGGAUGUCGCAGAUAAGCAGUGUUGCCUCAGCAGACCAGGCUAUUCAGCUGCAAGCAAAACAAACCCUUGUUUGACACUGAGCUUUCUGUUUUGUCUCACACCAUGGCUUUCUGCAGCUAAUUCGGGUCUUGGAAGAGCAUGUGGCUAGCUGGGUAUCCAGCGCAGCCCUGUGCCUCUCACAGAUGGAGCAAAUUCUGCCUCUGCAAUUGGAAAUUGUGGGCUUCCUCCCCCUCCCAUCCCAUCCCACCAGGCUUGCUCCAGUCCCUACCCCCAGCAUUCGAGCCCUGGGUGCUUCUCUAAUUUAGGGCUGCAGGGAAACUGGGGGUUUCCUAAGCCAGGAAUGAGUGGGAAAGGGAGAGCUGAGGCUGAUAUUGGAGAUACUGUGUGGCUCUGAUGUGCAGGAGCAGGGAUGUCUGCAGCAAGAGGGAGCUGCACAGACACCAUCAA